rnacentral:rRNA from 1 species
UAGGGAAUCUUCCACAAUGGACGCAAGUCUGAUGGAGCAACGCCGCGUGAGUGAAGAAGGUCUUCGGAUCGUAAAACUCUGUUGUUAGAGAAGAACAUGCAGGAGAGUAACUGUUCUUGUAUUGACGGUAUCUAACCAGAAAGCCACGGCUAACUACGUGCUAG